GGGAGCAUUAGUAGCAUCUGACUGGGUGGGUGAGGCCAGGGAAAACUUUCUGUCUUGAAAGUAAACAAACCAACAAAAACCUAAGGUUGAGUAAUUGUUGAAGCUAAAAUAAUGUCUUGAGAGUGGUUUCUCUCUCCUUUUGCAUGCAUCUGAAACUUUUUACUUUAAAAACAAAACCACAGUAACAGAAACUCUGCUCACUGUUUCUAACUUCCCCCAAAGGGUCAUUUUCAUCUGACACUGAAGAUCACUCACGACAUGGGCACUAGCAGCAUUCCACUGUACGUCACAACUGCUUCAGCCAUUCUACACUGGAGGGACGUUUAUAUUGCUCUGAACAUUCUUGUCCGCGUUGCCUGGAACACCUGUGGGUUUCUCUGGGGUAUUCUACAGCAAAGAGUGAGACUACUGGCCCCUAGCUUUGUGCAUCUUCACCUUCACCAGGGUUUCCCAGGUGGCUUAGUGGUAAAGAAUCCACCUGCAAUGGAGAAGACGUGGGUUCAGUCCCUGAGUCAGGAAGAUCCCCUAGAGAAGGAAAUGGCAACCCACUCCAGUAUUGCCUGGGAAAUCCCAUGGACAGAGAAACCU
ensembl:lncRNA